rnacentral:rRNA from 1 species
UACGUCGGGUGCAAGCGUUAAUCGGAAUUACUGGGCGUAAAGCGUGCGCAGGCGGUUUUGUAAGACAGGUGUGAAAUCCCCGGGCUUAACCUGGGAACUGCAUUUGUGACUGCAAGGCUGGAGUGCGGCAGAGGGGGAUGGAAUUCCGCGUGUAGCAGUGAAAUGCGUAGAUAUGCGGAGGAACACCGAUGGCGAAGGCAAUCCCCUGGGCCGGCACUGACGCUCAUGCACGAAAGCGUGGGGAGCAAACAGG